UAUAAAUUGAUGAAGAGAAGAAGUAGAUUAGCCGGAUUUUCAGAAAGCUUCUGGGCGCUGUGAAGAAGUAAUUGGGUUAAUCGAAAUGCACCUUGGAGAUGCUAGUAGACUUUGGCUACUAGUCGGGACACCGUUAUCUGCUUGAGGCAUUUUUGCGAAGAAAAGUGGAACCACGCUCAACCGGCGUCUUUUGU
rnacentral:ncRNA from 1 species